rnacentral:rRNA from 1 species
GGGUGAGUAACACGUGAGUAACCUGCCUUUCAGAGGGGGACAACAUUUGGAAACGAAUGCUAAUACCGCAUAAGACCACGGUACCGCAUGGUAGAGAGGUCAAAGGAGAAAUCCGCUGAAAGAUGGGCUCGCGUCCGAUUAGGUAGUUGGUGAGGUAACGGCCCACCAAGCCGACGAUCGGUAGCCGGACUGAGAGGUUGAACGGCCACAUUGGGACUGAGACACGGCCCAGACUCCUACGGGAGGCAGCAGUGGGGGAUAUUGCACAAUGGGGGAAACCCUGAUGCAGCGACGCCGCGUGGAGGAAGAAGGUCUUCGGAUUGUAAACUCCUGUCCGAGGGGACGAUAAUGACGGUACCCUUGGAGGAAGCACCGGCUAACUACGUGCCAGCAGCCGCGGUAAAACGUAGGGUGCAAGCGUUGUCCGGAAUUACUGGGUGUAAAGGGAGCGCAGGCGGACUGUCAAGUUGGGAGUGAAAACUACGGGCUCAACCCGUAACUUGCUUUCAAAACUGGCGGUCUUGAGUGGUGUAGAGGUAGGCGGAAUUCCCGGUGUAGCGGUGGAAUGCGUAGAUAUCGGGAGGAACACCAGUGGCGAAGGCGGCCUACUGGGCACUAACUGACGCUGAGGCUCGAAAGCAUGGGUAGCAAACAGGAUUAGAUACCCUGGUAGUCCAUGCCGUAAACGAUG